AUGGCCGUCCACGUCGUACCACCCCUCCUCCUCCUCCUCGCCACGGCCCUCCCGUACUCCGCCCUCGCCGUUUUCUCCCCGGAUUUCUCCUUCUUCCUCGCGUGCGGCGCAGGCGCCGACGUCACCUUCCCGUCAGACAACCCCACGCGCACCUUCGUGCGGGACGACGGCUACCUCUCGCAAGGGCGUCCCGCCGCGGUGUCUGCAAACGCCAGCUCCGGCGCGGCCUCCAACCCUCUGUACGCCGCCGCGCGCGCCGACAGCUCGGCCUUCUCCUACCGCCUCGCGUACCCCGCCACGGCGGGCGCGUCGUCGUUCCUCGUCCUGCGCCUCCACUUCUUCCCGUUCGUCCCCGCCUCCUCCUCCACCAGCCUUUCCUCCGCGCGCUUCACCGUCUCGGUCCUCGACGCCUACGCCCUGCUGCCCGCCUUCUCGCCGCCGGCCGACGGCGUCGUCAAGGAGUUCUUCGUCCCGCGCGGCGGGUCGAAAGAAUUCACCAUCAGGUUCAGCCCGGACGCCGGCUCCUCCGCUUUCGUCAAUGCAGUCGAGCUGUUCCCAGCCCCGCAGCAGCUGCUGUGGAACGGCUCCAACUCGGUGGUGCCGGUGGGCGUCCUGGGGAACGACGACUUGGCCCAGUGGCAGCUGGACGCGCUGGAGACGGUGUACCGCCUCAACGUCGGCGGGCCCAAGGUGACCAGGGAGAACGACACGCUCUGGCGGACGUGGCUCCCCGACGGCGCCUACCUCUUCGGCGCCCCCGGGCAGUCGGUGGUGAACAACACCUCCAGCCCGAUCAUCUACAACCCGCCGAACACAAGGGAGGUGGCACCGGACGUGGUGUACAGGACGCAGCGCGCGGCGAACGUGACGGACUUCCUGCGGGCGACAACGCCGGGCCUGAACUUCAACGUCACGUGGACGUUCCCGGCGGAGGCAGGGUCCCGCUACCUCGUCCGCCUCCACUUCUGCGACUAUGAGGUGGUCAGCUCCGUCGUCGGUGUUGGCAUCGUCUUCAACGUCUAUGUCGCGCAAGCCAUUGGCAGCAGAGACCUCGCGCCGAAUGCUCAGGCGACUCAGCCGAACGAGCCCUUAUAUCUUGACUACGCGGCCACGGCGCCGAGAGCUGGGAACCUCACCGUCAGCAUUGGCACGUCGUCGAAAAGCAGCGGGGGCGGCAUACUGAACGGGCUGGAGAUCAUGAAGCUGCAAUCCGUCGACCUGAGCUCGCCGGGGUCGCAUGCCCUGACGAAGAGAAGCAUCAUCAUCAUCGUGCUCGCGACGGUGCUCGGCGCCGCCGUCCUUGCGUGCGCGGUGCUCUGCUUUUUCGUCGUGCGGCGGAGGAAGCGCAGACAGGUGGCGCCGCCGGCGUCGAAGGAGGAUAAGGAGAGCACGCAGCUGCCGUGGUCACCGUACACGCAGGAAGGCAUCUCCGGGUGGGCCGACGAGUCGACGAACCGGUCCAACGAGGGCACGACCGCCAGGAUGCAGAGGGUGAGCACCAAGCUGCACAUCUCGCUGCCGGAGCUCAAGGCCGCCACGGACAACUUCCACGAGCGCAACCUCAUCGGCGUCGGCGGGUUCGGCAACGUGUACAAGGGCGCGCUCUCCGACGGCACGCCCGUGGCGGUGAAGCGCGCCAUGCGCGCCUCCAAGCAGGGCCUGCCGGAGUUUCAGACCGAGAUCGUGGUGCUGUCCGGCAUCCGGCACCGGCACCUGGUGUCGCUCAUCGGCUACUGCAACGAGCAGGCGGAGAUGAUCCUGGUGUACGAGUACAUGGAGAAGGGCACGCUGCGGAGCCACCUGUACGGCUCCGACGAGCCGGUGCUGUCGUGGAAGCAGCGGCUCGAGAUCUGCAUCGGCGCCGCCAGGGGCCUGCACUACCUGCACAGCGGCUACUCGGAGAACAUCAUCCACCGCGACGUCAAGUCCACCAACAUCCUCCUCGGGACCGACGACGGCGGCAGCACCGGCGGCGGCGCGAUCAUCGCCAAGGUGGCCGACUUCGGGCUGUCGCGCAUCGGGCCAUCGCUGGGGGAGACGCACGUCAGCACGGCGGUGAAGGGCAGCUUCGGGUACCUGGACCCUGAGUACUUCAAGACGCAGCAGCUCACGGACCGCUCCGACGUCUACUCCUUCGGCGUGGUGCUCUUCGAGGUGCUCUGCGCGCGCCCGGUCAUCGACCAGAGCCUCGACCGCGACCAGAUCAACAUCGCUGAGUGGGCCGUGAGGAUGCACGGGGAGGGGAAGCUCGACAAGAUCGCCGACGCCAGGAUCGCGGGUGAGGUGAACGACAACUCGCUGCGCAAGUUCGCCGAGACGGCGGAGAAGUGCCUCGCGGACUACGGCGCCGACCGCCCCUCCAUGGGCGACGUGCUGUGGAACCUCGAGUACUGCCUCCAGCUGCAGGAGACACACGUCAACAGGGACGCCUUCGAGGACAGCGGCGCCGUCGCCACGCAGCUCCCCGCCGACGUCGUCGUGCCGCGCUGGGUGCCGUCGUCGACGAGUCUGCUCAUGAUGGACGACGCGGACGAGACGGGACUGAGCAUGACCGAGCUCGCCGACAGCCAGGUCUUCUCCCAGCUCAACGCUCGCGGCGAGGGACGAUGA
rnacentral:rRNA from 1 species